rnacentral:rRNA from 1 species
UGGGGAAUAUUGGACAAUGGGCGCAAGCCUGAUCCAGCCAUGCCGCGUGAACGAUGAAGGCCUUAGGGUUGUAAAGUUCUUUUGUCAGGGAAGAUAAUGACGGUACCUGAAGAAUAAGCACCGGCUAACUUCGUGCCAGCAGCCGCGGUAAUACGAAGGGUGCUAGCGUUGUUCGGAAUCACUGGGCGUAAAGCGCGCGUAGGCGGCUUAACAAGUCAGAGGUGAAAGCCUGGAGCUCAACUCCAGAACUGCCUUUGAAACUGUUAAGCUUGAGUGUCGGAGGGGAUAGCGGAAUUUCUAAUGUAGAGGUGAAAUUCGUAGAUAUUAGAAGGAACACCGGUGGCGAAGGCGGCUAUCUGGACGACAACUGACGCUGAGGCGCGAAAGCGUGGGGAUCAAACAGGAUUAGAUACCCUUGUAGUCCCUGAGCGGGCUGGCAAGGCGCAU